UUCUUGCAACAAUAGACUAAUUUAUAAAGAAGUUUAUUCCAGAUGAAUCUAGCUCUGGACAGUUAUAAGCAAAGAAAAACUAACGGAAAAAUACAGAGGCCUGAAGAAUCACAGAGGGAAACUCAUUUGUUCCUCUGGCAGCUCUCCCCAAGGACACCUGUGAGACAAAGUCAGAAGUGGCUUCCCUGGUGACCCAGAGAGACCACAGGGCUCUUGCCGCUGCUUCCUCUACUCCCGUAUUUUGCCGAGCUCUCUAAAUUGUCUCAGCUCUAGCCUGAAUCUAUGGUUUCAUGGAGAGCUCCCUAAAAUCUGUUGACAGAGGAAGAGAAGACUUGAACCUGGUUUACAGAUGGUACUGCACAAUAUGCAGGAACCACAUGAAAGCAGGCAGUUGAAGCACUGCAGCCUCUCUCUGGGACAUCUCCUAAGAAAAAUGAGGGAGCAUCCUCCCAUCCUCCAGUCACAGAGAAAAAAGCCAUGUGAGGACACAGUGAGAAGCUGCUAUCUGCAAGCUGAGAAGAGAAACAUCACUAGAAACCAUCCCUGCUGGCACUUGAUCUUGACUUUCAGCUUUCAGAACUUUGAGAAAAUAAAUGUGUGUCGCUUAAGCCAGUUCAUCUUUAGUUAUUUUGUUAUGUCAGCCUGAGCAGAAUUAGACAAAUACUAAUAGUAAACUAUAAGGUAAACUGUAGGCUUUGGGUAAUGACGUGUCAAUAGAUUUAUCAAUUGUAACAAAUGUAUCACUGUGAUGUGGGACAUUGAUAGAGCAGGAUGUUGUGCAUGUGUGGGCUGUGUGGGAGCAAAUCAUAUAUGGGAAUUCUCUUAACAUUCUAUUGAAUUUUUCUAAGAACUUACAACUGAUCUAAAAAUAAAGUCUGUUUUUUUAAAAAAUAAUUGAUUUUCCGUCAUAUUAACAGAAUAAAGAAAAAAAUCACAUAGUCAUGUCAAUUUCUGCAGAAAAAUCAAUUGAUAAAAUUCAACUUUUAUUUAUAAUAAAACUUCUUAGCAC
rnacentral:lncRNA from 1 species